CGGGUGAGUAAUGCCUAGGAAUCUGCCUGGUAGUGGGGGACAACGUUUCGAAAGGAACGCUAAUACCGCAUACGUCCUACGGGAGAAAGCAGGGGACCUUCGGGCCUUGCGCUAUCAGAUGAGCCUAGGUCGGAUUAGCUAGUUGGUGAGGUAAUGGCUCACCAAGGCGACGAUCCGUAACUGGUCUGAGAGGAUGAUCAGUCACACUGGAACUGAGACACGGUCCAGACUCCUACGGGAGGCAGCAGCG
rnacentral:rRNA from 1 species